CUUGGGGGGUGUCCGCACACGCACAUGGCUUUACCGCAAGUCUUUUUCUUCGCAACAGACCGGGGUGAUAGAUGGAAAGGACAUAUUCCUAUCGUUAAAAGACCGGGCGAGAGAAAACAAGAGAUCCCCUUUCGUUAAAGGAUAUAGGGCCUGGUUAGCCCUGACCUGCAUCCGUUUCCAAUUCCCCCUACGCCAUGACAUUCUUGCACGCUCCAUCAAAGCUCCGUAAGUUUUCCCUCCAUGGGUAGAUAAUCUGUCCGGCAUGUAGGUCCUCAUUAAUAAAAUGGGUAGAAAAUGAAUCUGUUUAAGUCAUAAGUAAAGGCCUUUCAUAAAGAGGCUGUCCUGAUUGACUGUGACACAUAUUUAACACAUAUUGCUUGUUACCAAAGACUACUGUUGUACAUUGAAUAUCCACUAGCAGAUUGUUGUUGCAUCUCCACUAUAUCUGUCAUGUUACUGUGGUCUUUUUAAAAGUCAAUAGACAUGUGUGUAGAUUAUACACUUUGGAUCCCCCCGGUGUACAUGCACCUAACAUCCAUAGGCUGGAGCCACCUGGAGCUCGGCGCAUGUACAUAUAAAGACAACUAAAUAGGAAACUCAACAGCGUGUUGGGCCAAGAAACAUUAUUUAAGAUGGCUGUUUUAUUGUUGUUGAAAGCUUGAAAUGUACACAAUGCGAAGAGACCUUGUUUCUAACACCCCAGGCAGAGACAUACACACACAAUCACCCUCCCAGACAUUCCUGCUUCAUAGAUAACAACCCUAAGGGCAAUAAAAUAGGGGGUGUGGGGCCCUUCUCUUUCAAAUGUUCAAACACAGACCCCCCCAGUUCAACCAGGUCCCUACACAUCAAUCAUCAUGACUACUUCAAAGGAAUAAAUACAAUAUAUGCAUAAAUUAGCACACCCUGACCAGAUGCCCAAAUAUCGGCACUCCCUAGACCACGUGAUCACAUACACAAUUUCACACUCCCUCUAAGGCAUGAGAACAGGAACCGGAUGUCCUGACCGGAUGCCCAAAUAUGGGCAUGCACACAUCAUCCUGACAUAGGAUCAUAAAUCAUACGUUUGACGUGUGCCGUCUACUUUAUUCUCUCUCAGGUUGAUUGUGGAGGUCUGCACACUGCGAAAUGUAUAUCACUUUAGACUAGAAAUGCAUUGAAAUACUGAUUUGUCAUUAAUAACCUGAACAGAUCUGAGCACACAAUAUAUGUGGAAGCAAUAGGUAUUUCACAUCUGUGCAGAUGAAAGGAUGUUCAAAGUGGAUGAAAAAAAUAAAAAAAAUAAAAAAUAAUCAAAAUAACAAAUACAAUUAGAAUUACAACCCUUGAUGACUCCCAUCUUAACUUCACUGUAUCCCAUAAGGUAAUUCAAUAAAUAGUCAAAUAGACUAGAGACAGGUGUCCCUCAGUCAGGGCCAGCACUCUCUCUCUCUGUCCUUCUCGCGGUUCAAAUCACACAUAGGACUAUUGCUAAAUUAUAAACUUCUUCUAAUUAUUAGUGUUUACAUAGCCCAUUUAAAUCUCAACCAAUGUCUCUAGUCUUUUUAGUGAGGAUGAUCAGGCCUCACCAGAAAGUCAAAAAUGAUUUAAAGAUAUUUAAAAAUGUCAAACAUUUUGUGUAUCAGGUUUACAUUGGGUUUUAAAUGACAUUUCUUAUCAAGAGAAUUUACAUGUGUGCAACCAAAACUUUUCAGAACAUUUAAUUUGUGUGCCCUUUAAGGUGCAUAAUUUCUAACAUGUGAAAAACCCACUCAAGCCAAAAUGAAAGACCCAAACAAUAAAUCAGUAUUUUGCACCAUUAAAAAAACAUUCAUAACAGGUACAAACAAAUAAAAUGGCCAAGCCUUACUUAAUUUGGGCCUCCUUCAACAGCCAACUUCAGGAACCUUUAUACUAACUCCCAAGGCACCUGUGUCACGAUCGUCGUAUGGAAUGGACCAAGGUGCAGCGUGGUGAGCGUAUAUUUUUGCAAAAUGUGGCCAACAAAACGAACGUGUGUAACGUCGGGUGAGUAAUGAGUGAGGAGUCAAAUGCAGAGAGCGAAGUGAACGGGGAAAACACUUUAAUGUCCUUCAAAACGUAACAGGUCCAAACAUGGGUGAAUGCCCUAAAACACUGGCGCUAAACAAACCCAAAACCUAUUUACAAACACUGGACAGUGAAAACCCAAAACAAACACGAUACCUCACCAAAUGUAACAAACCAACAAGCCCGCACAAACACCAGCGGGCAAAACGAACUUAAAUAACACCCAUCUCAAAACCCCAACAAGGAACAGGUGAAAACAAUAAGACAAAAACAAAGGAAAAAGGGAUCGGUGGCAGCUAGUAGACCUGCGACGACGACGACCGCCGAGCGCCACCCGAGCAGGAAGGGGAGCCACCUUCGCUGGUAUUUGUGACAACGUGAAGCUCCGUAAGGCUAUACAUGCACAAACGAAGACAACUUCCCACAACCACCAAAAGGAAAAAAGGCUGCCUAAGUAGGGUAGACAGCUGUCCCUGAUUUGAGAACCAUACCCGGCCAAAACAUAGAAACAAACAACAUAGAAUGCCCACCCCAAAUCACACUCUGAACUAACCAAAUAGAGAAAUAAAACGGCUCUCUAAGGUCAGGGCAUGACAAGCUGCCUCAGAAAGCAUUUCAAAAGGAGAGAUACAGAGUCAUUGAUAAACAUGCUAAAAAAAACUGGAAG